UACGUAGGGUGCAAGCGUUAAUCGGAAUUACUGGGCGUAAAGCGUGCGCAGGCGGUUUUGUAAGUCUGAUGUGAAAUCCCCCGGGCUCAACCUGGGAAUUGCAUUGGAGACUGCAAGGCUAGAAUCUGGCAGAGGGGGGUAGAAUUCCACGUGUAGCAGUGAAAUGCGUAGAGAUGUGGAGGAACACCGAUGGCGAAGGCAGCCCCCUGGGUCAAGAUUGACGCUCAUGCACCGAAAGCGUGGGG
rnacentral:rRNA from 1 species